UGCUCCUAGUACGAGAGGACCGGAGUGGACGCAUCACUGGUGUUCGGGUUGUCAUGCCAAUGGCACUGCCCGGUAGCUAAAUGCGGAAGAGAUAAGUGCUGAAAGCAUCUAAGCACGAAACUUGCCCCGAGAUGAGUUCUCCCUGAGACUAUAAGUCUCCUGAAGGAACGUUGAAGACGACGACGUUGAUAGGCCGGGUGUGUAAGCGCAGCGAUGCGUUGAGCUAACCGGUACUAAUGAACCGUGAGGCUUAACCUUAC
rnacentral:rRNA from 1 species